rnacentral:rRNA from 1 species
CCUACGGGUGGCAGCAGUGGGGAAUAUUGGGCAAUGGGCGCAAGCCUGACCCAGCAACGCCGCGUGAAGGAAGAAGGCUUUCGGGUUGUAAACUUCUUUUAGGCGGGAAGAGCAGAAGACGGUACCCCUUGCAUAAGCCACGGCUAACUACGUGCCAGCAGCCACGGUAAUACGGAGGUGGCAAGCGUUGUCCGGAUUUACUGGGUGUCAAGGGCGUGCAGCCGGAGAUACAAUUCAGAGGUGAAAGCCACGGGCGCAACCCGUGACCUGCAUUUGAAACUGUUUCCCUUGAGUGUCGGAGAGGUAAUCGGAAUUCCUGGUGUAGCGGUGAAAUGCGUAGAUAUAAGGAAGAACACCAGUGGCGAAGGCGGAUUACUGGACGAUAACUGACGGUGAGGCGCGAAAGCGUGGGGAGCAAACAGGAUUAGAUACCCUAGUAGUC